CCUACGGGAGGCAGCAGUAAGGAAUCUUCCACAAUGGACGAAAGUCUGAUGGAGCAACGCCGCGUGCAGGAUGAAGGCUUUCGGGUCGUAAACUGCUUUUAUAUGGGAAGAUUAUGACGGUACCAUAUGAAUAAGGACCGGCUAACUACGUGCCAGCAGCCGCGGUAAUACGUAGGGUCCAAGCGAUAUCCGGAAUUACUGGGCGUAAAGCGUGUGUAGGUGGAUUAAUAAGUGUGAUGCGAAAUCCGGCGGCUCAACCGUUUGGACUGUGUCGCAUACUGUUAGUCUAGAGGACGGCAGAGGUAAGUGGAAUUACGGGUGUAGCAGUGAAAUGCGUAGAUAUCCGUAGGAACACCAAUGGCGAAGGCAGCUUACUGGGCCACACCUGACACUGAGACACGAAAGCGUGGGGAGCGAACAGGAUUAGAUACCCUGGUAGUCCACGCCGUAAACGAUGCAUACUAUUAGUAUGGGGUAUCGACCCCCUGUGCUGAGAAGCUAACGCGAUAAGUAUGCCGCCUGGGGAGUACGAGCGCAAGCUUAAAACUCAAAGGAAUUGAGG
rnacentral:rRNA from 1 species